rnacentral:rRNA from 1 species
AGUGAACGCUGGCGGUAGGCCUAACACAUGCAAGUCGAACGGCAGCACAGUAAGAGCUUGCUCUUACGGGUGGCGAGUGGCGGACGGGUGAGGAAUACAUCGGAAUCUACUUUUUCGUGGGGGAUAACGUAGGGAAACUUACGCUAAUACCGCAUACGACCUACGGGUGAAAUCAGGGGAUCUUCGGACCUUGCGCGAUUCAAUGAGCCGAUGUCGGAUUAGCUAGUUUGCGGGGUAAAGGCCCACCAAGGCGACGAUCCGUAGCUGGUCUGAGAGGAUGAUCAGCCACACUGGAACUGAGACACGGUCCAGACUCCUACGGGAGGCAGCAGUGGGGAAUAUUGGACAAAGGGCGCAAGCCUGAUCCAGCCAUACCGCGUGGGUGAAGAAGGCCUUCGGGUUGUAAAGCCCUUUUGUUGGGAAAGAAAAGCAGCAGGUUAAUACCCCGCUGUUCUGACGGUACCCAAAGAAUAAGCACCGGCUAACUUCGUG